ACAAGUUUUCGAAGAGGGUACACUUCGAAUAUCAUCCCUGUAAUUUUGCAUUUUCUCACUUUAUUAUUCUGUGAUUUAAAGUAUACCAAGUUAGUAUUUUGUGAUUUUACUUUUAUCUUUUCAUCAAAUUUUUCGUUAAUAUUUCGUUAAAUUAUAUACAAAAAACUUCAGAUACCUCACCUACUAGCUUUAUCGAAUAUUUACUUUAAUACAAUUUAGUUUUAACUUUGUCACUGAUUUAACGAAAAAAUGAGUGAAAUCGAUAAUAUAAAGAUAAAAAUGAAACCACAUUGCACUAAAUUGAUAUACUUUAAACCACAGGGUACUAAAGUGAGAAAAUGUGAAACCACUGGAGUGGUAUUUGAAGUUUUCCCGAAAGAAGAAGAUCAAACUCGGACUUUUUUUCAAAAUAACUCCAUAAAAUUUUCUAAUUGUAAAUAAUUCUAUAAAAUUUUUUGGCAAAUUAACCCUUCUUUUGCCAUGUAGGAGCCACGUUAAAAUUUUCUCUUAAAAAUGAUGAAUAAUUUACGGUCUUCGUAAAAAGAGUGAACGAUUUACCGUCUUCCUAAUUUUCUACAAAAGUGAUAAAUUAUUCGCAGUCUUUUACUUAUUUACUGUUUCUUUCAAUAUCCCAUAUAUAAAAUUUCAACAAAUCACAUAUAAUCUUAACAACUUAAAAAUUCUAAUAAUCUAUCCGUACAAAUCUAUAUAAUCUUAACAAUCUGAAAAUCCUAAUAAUCUAUUCAUACAAUCCCAACUAUCAAAUAAAAAUUCUAAUAAUCCACGUAUAAUCAUAAUAAUCUCACUUUUUUCUAUUUUUCAUAUAAUUCAUAUAUAAUUUUAAUAAAUGCAGUCCAUAAAGAUGGUUAGUUUGCCAAAUAUAAAUUUGGCAGGAAUAUUUUACAAAUUAUAAAAUUUCAUAAGAUUAUUUUUAUAAAAAAAUCCAUCAAACUCCAUCAAUUU
rnacentral:lncRNA from 1 species